rnacentral:ncRNA from 1 species
UGCGUGCUCCGGGGUCGGUGAAAUUCCGAGCCGGCGGUGACAGUCCGCGACCCUGACGCCUUCGGGCCGACGGUUGACCUGGUGGAACUCCAGGACCGACGGUGAGAGUCCGGAUGGGAGGAACACGCG